GGGUGAGUAACACGUGGGAAUCUACCCGGAGAUACGGAAAAACCGGUGGAAACAUCUGCUAAUACCGUAUACGCCCGCAACAUGCGUUGCGGGGAAAGAUUUAUCGUCUUCGGAUGAGCCCGCGCUGGAUUAGCUUGUUGGUGGGGUAAAAGCCUACCAAGGCCGCGAUCCAUAGCUGGUCUGAGAGGAUGAUCAGCCACACUGGGACUGAGACACGGCCCAGACUCCUACGGGAGGCAGCAGUGGGGAAUUUUGCACAAUGGGCGCAAGCCUGAUGCAGCCAUGCCGCGUGAGUGAAGAAGGCCCUAGGGUUGUAAAACUCUUUCACCGGUUAGGAUAAUGACGCAAACCGGAGAAGAAACCCCGGCUAACUCCGUGCCAGCAGCCGCGGUAAUACGGAGGGGGUUAGCGUUGUUCGGAAUUACUGGGCGUAAAGCGCGUGCAGGCGGAACGGUCAGUCGGAGGUGAAAGCCCGGGGCUCAACCCCGGAACCGCCUUCGAUACUGCCGUUCUCGAGGUCGGAAGAGGUGAGUGGAAUUCCCAGUGUAGAGGUGGAAUUCGUAGAUAUUGGGAAGAACACCAGCG
rnacentral:rRNA from 1 species